AGAGCGAACGCUGGCGGCAGGCCUAACACAUGCAAGUCGAACGCACCGCAAGGUGAGUGGCAGACGGGUGAGUAACGCGUGGGAACGUGCCCUUUGGCACGGAAUAGCUCGGGGAAACCUGAGGUAAUACCGUAUGUGCCCUUCGGGGGAAAGAUUUAUCGCCAAAGGAUCGGCCCGCGUCGGAUUAGCUAGUUGGUGAGGUAACGGCUCACCAAGGCUACGAUCCGUAGCUGGUCUGAGAGGAUGAUCAGCCACACUGGGACUGAGACACGGCCCAGACUCCUACGGGAGGCAGCAGUGGGGAAUAUUGGACAAAUGGGCGCAAGCCUGAUCCAGCCAUGCCGCGUGAGUGGUGAAGGCCGUUAGGGUUGUAAAGCUCUUCUAGCGGGGAAGAUAAUGAACAUUACCCGCAAGAAGAAAGCCCGGCUAACCUUACUGCCAGCAGCCGC
rnacentral:rRNA from 1 species